rnacentral:lncRNA from 1 species
UGGAGGUUUAAUGUUUUUAACAGUGGAGGCCAAAAAAGAAGAUAAUUUGGAUUUGAACCAAUAUUUUCUUCAUCUCAACUCACCUCACCACUACAGGUCCAAGCCUGACACAGAGCCUAACAGAAUUUUAAUUUUCAGCAAAACUUUGAAGGGGAAGGGCAAAAGGGAAGAUUUCCCUUGGCCCGUUCAUUUUUGGCACUGUGAGCAAGAUAACCAAACCCACUCUGCUCUUCUGGAAGCCGAAGUCAAAGGAACACUGGACCUGACAAGUAAGCAGAAGGGUAAGAAUUUCUUACUUUCACUUGUGUCCAUGUGAACAGACCACCAAACAGGCUUUGUGUGGGCAAUAAAGCUUUUUAAUCACCUGGGUGCAGGCAGGCUGAGUCCGAAAAGAGACUCAGCGAAGGGAGAUAGGGGUGGGGCCUUUUUAUAAGAUUUGGAUGGGUAGUGGAAAAUUACAGUCAAAGGGGGUUGUUCUCUGGCUGGCAGGGGCGGGGUUCACAAGUGCUCAGUCAGGGAGCUUUUGAGCAAGGAUGAACCAGGAGAAGGAAUUUCACAAGGUAUUGUCAUCAUUUAAGGCAGGGACCGGCCAUUUUCACUUCUUUUGUGGUGGAAUGUCAUCAGUUAAGGCAGGAACAGGCCACUUUCACUUCUUUUGUGAUUCUUCAGUUACUUCAGGCCAUCUGGAUGUAUACAUGGAAGUCACAGGGGAUAUGAUGGCUUAGCUUGGGCUCAGAGGCC